UACGGAGGGUGCAAGCGUUGCUCGGAAUUAUUGGGCGUAAAGGGUAGGUAGGUGGUCUCGUUUGUCUGAGGUGAAAGCCCAGGGCUUAACCCUGGAAGUGCCUCAGAAACGGCGAGACUUGAGUCCUGGAGAGGGUCGUGGAAUUCCCGGUGUAGCGGUGAAAUGCGUAGAGAUCGGGAGGAACACCAGAGGCGAAGGCGGCGACCUGGACAGGCACUGACACUCAACUACGAAAGCGUGGGGAUCAAACAGG
rnacentral:rRNA from 1 species